rnacentral:rRNA from 1 species
GACGAACGCUGGCGGCAUGCCUAAUACAUGCAAGUCGAGCGAACAGAUGAAGUGCUUGCACUUCUGACGUUAGCGGCGAACGGGUGAGUAACACGUAAGGAAUCUACCUAUAAGCGGGGGAUAACAUUCGGAAACGGGUGCUAAUACCGCAUAAUAUCUUCUUCCGCAUGGAAGAAGAUUGAAAGACGGCUCUGCUGUCACUUAUAGAUGACCUUGCGGUGCAUUAGUUAGUUGGUGGGGUAACGGCCUACCAAGACGAUGAUGCAUAGCCGACCUGAGAGGGUGAUCGGCCACAUUGGGACUGGGACACGGCCCAAACUCCUACGGGAGGCAGCAGUAGGGAAUCUUCCGCAAUGGGCGAAAGCCUGACGGAGCAAUGCCGCGUGAGUGAAGAAGGCCUUCGGGUCGUAAAACUCUGUUAUAAGAGAAGAACAAAUUGUAGAGUAACUGCUACAGUCUUGACGGUAUCUUAUCAGAAAGCCACGACUAACUACGAGCCAGCAGCCGCGGUAA